rnacentral:lncRNA from 1 species
UUUGAAAUAAUAUAAAUAUUAUUAUUAGUAUGUUAUAAUAAGAUAAACAUUAUUAUUUUUUCCUCACAAAUUUCACGAUGUUUUACCUUAAAUCUUUAAUCUUUAUUUCGAUAUGUGUUGGUUGAGUUCAUCAGAUAAUAAUAUUUAUUAUAUGUGAUGAUUGCGAAUUGGGAAAUGUGGCUUGUAGAACAUGCCGCCUGAUGGGUUACAUCAGGACCGCGUGCGCACCGGUAAUGAUCAUGGAUAUAAGGUUAUUAUGAAUUUGUCUGCCCUGAUCGAGCUUGCUCUCUAGGUUGAGUUCAGUUAAUUGUCGGAGUUAAGGUCCCUGAUUGAGCAAUGCUCUCUGGGCGCCGGCUUAUUUGGAAUUCAAGUGUUCAGGCUGGAGGUAAGGACCCUGAUCGAGCUUGCUCUCUGGGCGCCAGACCUGUUGGAUUAAGAGAGCCGAAAGGCUACUAGAAUUUGGGGUUUAGGGUUCUACCGAGCCACUCGUCCCGAAAAGAAAAGAAACAAAGAUAUUAUUUAUUUAUUUAUUUAUUUAUUUAUUCCAUUAUGGUAUGAUGACAUCAUGAUUUCUGUUUAUGUUCAGGGUUUGAUAUAUGGACUCGAAUAAUUAAUAUUUCCUGUG